GAGGGAAGGCUGAGUUAUACCCACAGGAAGCAUGCUUGCUUCUCGGCUCACUGCAGGGGCAUGCCCACUCGCGAACACUCAAUCACCUCGUUAUUUAUAUGGUCACAAAAGAAGGAGCGAGAGGAAAAAUACUUUUUUUUUUUUUUCACCAAGCAAUGACCACAGGUAGGAGAUGCCUUACAGAGAAACCAACAGAGAGAUUUCUCAGGAAACAGCGUUCAUCCCAGGGUGGCCUUACCAUGCAGCUUGAAAUAAAGACAGCAUCGUCUCCGCCAGACCAUGCUCGGUGAGCCACACUCUGAGUGGACUAUAACCUGGGAGGCACCUGUUGAGACCUAGGAGUCAGCUAUUCCUUCUGCGGGGCAGAGAGAGUGAGAGAGUAGCCCCGGAUAAAUGCAGUCUCUCCGGGGCUUGGCUAAGUCUGCGCCCACUUUCUGAUUAUUUCCUUCAACCAGAGACAGGAGGGUUUGGUUUUCUUGCUUGCUCGUUCGUUUUUAUUUUCCCACAGGAUGAAAGUUAAUGAAGUGAGGUCAAGCAAUCCAACCCGAGUCCACUGCCAAAUGCAUCUUUUUCAACUUUGCAUUCUGGGACAGAAGAGAGGAUCUCUGGUUGAGUCUAUGGACUCUAUAGACACACUUCAACUCUGAAACUGUCUUGAGCUUCCAUGUAUUGCUAGGUGUCAUAUGCUCCUGGUCUAAGAGAGUGUACUUGUUAAUCCUUUCAAUCUGUGUACCUGUGACCCCAACGACCUUGACAUGUCUGGACUCAGGGCUUCCAGAACACGUGGUGAACUGAGUUUGCAUUUGCAGACUGCUUCCGGGAAGUACUGGUCGCCACAGUUUUGAAGAAAUCCUUUUCCAGGAAGUCUGAUCACCCUGACUUUGGGCUCUGUGUUUGAAAACCGGCCUAGAUCUGAGCCUGGAUGGGAGAACAUGUUGUUGGGAAAUCUCGCCUCUAGAACUGUGGUUAUACAUUCUUGGUUCCCUUUGCUC